AGCCCUAGCCCCAGGAUCUCUAUGGAAACAUUCAGUGAUCAGGACAGAACACAGACAACUCACCAUGGAUUCUGUGCUUGGCUGGGUUUUCCUUGUUGCUCUUUUCAAAGGUGUCCAGUGUGAGGUGCAGCUGGUGGAGUCUGGGGGAGACCUGGUGAAGCCUGGAGGGUCCCUGAGACUCUCCUGUACAGCCUCUGGAUUCACCUUCAGUAGCUAUAGCAUGAGCUGGGUCCGCCAGGCUCCAGGGAAGGGGCUGCAGUGGGUCGCAUGGAUUAAGUAUGAUGGAAGUAGCACAAACUACGCAGACUCUGUGAAGGGCCGAUUCACCAUCUCCAGAGACAACGGCAAGAACACGCUGUAUCUGCAGAUGAACAGCCUGAGAGCCGAGGACACGGCCGUGUAUUACUGUGCCAGUGACACAGUGAGGGGACCUCAGUGUGAGUCCAGACACAAACCUCACUGUAGAAGGGGAUCUGGACCACCAGGGGGUGCACACUAUACAUAAUUUUGUCUUUAAGGCCCAGGAGCAGAUGAGGCUGGAGGAUAUGGCAGGUUUCCUCCCAGGGUCUGGGGCUUCCUCUCUAAUUAUAGCCGUUUCCCCCAGGGAGCCCCUCUGCACACAUAGUUCUGUGCUACCUAUUCAUUCUCUGACAUAAAUAAAAAGUUGAAGAACUGCUAUACCUGCAAGCG